rnacentral:rRNA from 1 species
AUACGUAGGGGGCAAGCGUUAUCCGGAUUUACUGGGUGUAAAGGGAGCGUAGACGGCAAAGCAAGUCUGAAGUGAAAGCCCCGGGCUCAACCCGGGAAUUGCUUUGGAAACUGUUUAGCUGGAGUGCAGGAGAGGUAAGCGGAAUUCCUAGUGUAGCGGUGAAAUGCGUAGAUAUUAGGAGGAACACCGGCGGCGAAGGCGGCUUACUGGACUGUAACUGACGUUGAGGCUCGAAAGCGUGGGGAGCAAACAGGAUUAGAUACCCUGGUAGUCCACGCCGUAAACGAUGAUUACUAGGUGUUGGUUGUCAUAGACAAUCGGUGCCGCAGCAAACGCAAUAAGUAAUCCACCUGGGGAGUACGUUCGCAAGAAUGAAACUCAAAGGAAUUGACGGG